rnacentral:rRNA from 1 species
UACGGAGGGAGCUAGCGUUGUUCGGAAUUACUGGGCGUAAAGCGCACGUAGGCGGCUUUUCAAGUCAGGGGUGAAAUCCCGGGGCGUCAACCUCGGAACUGCCCUUCGAAACUAGGAAGGCUAGAAUCCUGGAGAGGCGAGUGGAAUUCCGAGUGUAGAGGUGAAAUUACGUGAUAUUCGGAAGAACACCAGUGGCGAAGGCGACUCGCUGGACAGGUAUUGA